CCUCUCUCAGAGUCACACCCGGAGAGUUUCCAGUACUCUACCAGUCUCGACUAUGGGAGGGAGAGUCAAGCAAAGGCAUACCCAUUCUAUUCCUAGCUUGGGCAGUGGCUAGCGAGUGGAAGGUAAUCUGCUACAAGU
rnacentral:snoRNA from 1 species